rnacentral:rRNA from 1 species
AUACAAGCAAAAUAAGAGCAUCGGGUGGAUGCCUUGGCGUCGGAAGGCGAUGAAAGACGCGGUAAGCUGCGAUAAGCCUCGGGGAGGAGCUAAACAUCCCUUGAUCCGAGGAUUUCUGAAUGGGGAAACCCGGCGGGAGUCAUGUCCCGUCACUGGUAGACGAAUACAUAGUCUGCCAAGUGCCAACUCAGGGAAGUGAAACAUCUCAGUACCUGAAGGAAAGGAAAUCAAACGAGACUCCCUCAGUAGCGGCGAGCGAAGGGGGAAUAGCCCAAACCGUGUGGAUCCGUCCAUGCGGGGUUGUAGGGCCGGCAUACGUGAUUCUGGAGUAGGCAGGGGAAGGAAGCUGGAAAGCUUCGCCAGAGCGGGUGAUAGCCCCGUACCCGAAACUGAAAAGGACACAGCCGGUACCUGAGUACUGCGAGGCACGUGAAACCUCGUGGGAAUCUGGGAGGACCAUCUUCCAAGGCUAAGUACUAACCGACGACCGAUAGUGCACCAGUACCGUGAGGGAAAGGUGAAAAGAACCCCUGUCAGGGGAGUGAAAUAGAAUCUGAAACCUGAUGCUUACAAGCUGUGGGAGCACCCUUGUGGUGUGACCGCGUGCCUUUUGCAUAAUGAGUCAGCGAGUUAAUCUGUACUGCAAGGUUAAGCGUAAGUGGAGCCGUAGCGAAAGCGAGUCUGAUAAGGGCGUUUAGUAGUGCGGAUUAGACCCGAAACCGGGUGAUCUAUCCAUGAGCAGGUUGAAGCAAGGGUAAAACCUUGUGGAGGACCGAACCAUUAACGGCUGAAAACGUUUUGGAUGACUUGUGGAU